CAGACCUCUGAUCGGAAAACUACCGCCGAAUUAC
rnacentral:rRNA from 1 species